UGAAGACAAGCUGAGCUAAGGUGGCUUUACCGACCCCACCCAUACCCACUAUAGGAAUCACACCCAGGUCACUGCCAUUUCCAUCAUCCAACAGCAGCUUCACUAUGUUCUCCUUAUCAUCAUCCCUACCAAACACAUCAGAUAGUCUACAAGAGAGGUUGUUGAUAUUUUCUGUGCUGAUGACUUUUCACCAAUACUUUUUCUCAGAUUCAAAUCAAGAACAUCCUUCUGUUGUACUAAAUAUUCG
rnacentral:misc_RNA from 1 species